GAUGAAGAACGUAGCGAAAUGCGAUACGUAAUGUGAAUUGCAGAAUUCAGUGAAUCAUCGAAUCUUUGAACGCACAUUGCGCCCGCCAGCACUCUGGCGGGCAUGCCUGUUCGAGCGUCAUUUCAACCAUCAAGCCCCAGGCUUGCGUUGGAGCCCUGCGGCUGCCGCAGCCUCCUAAAAUCAGUGGCGGGCUCGCUAUCACACCGAGUGCAGUAGUUUACUCUUCGCUCAGGACGUGUAGCGGGUUCCGGCCGUGAAACCCCCCAAUUUUCAAGGUUGACCUCGGAUCAGGUAGGAAUACCCGCUGAACUUAAGCAUAUCAAUAAGCGGAGGA
rnacentral:misc_RNA from 1 species